UUCAUUAAAAAAUAUUAAAAACCAAAAAAAAUAAUAAAAAAGUGUCUGAAGUAUUCUUAGAAACAUACUAAAAACACCUGUUUUCUAAAAGGCAAAAAAACCAUUAAUUGGUCUUUUAGCUUUUUUGAAGCGGAAGCAUCCUUAAAAACCCUCUUCUUCCCGUUGCUAGAGAACUUCACCAGCUCUGAACCGGCGUCACGGACAUCGUCUUCACUUCACCUCACCCGCGUUCCUGAAGAGCUUAGAUCCUUCCGUUGCAACUCUGGGGACGGGUGGGCCCAUCGGAAACAUGGUGCUUUCUGUACAUAGCUAGCUGAUGUAGGCUUCAUCUUAGAGCAAGAGCAUGCAAGGUUAAUAAUAUAGUCCACUGCUAGAGGUACAAAUAUAGUCUUUAUUAUGCUUGCUAAUAGGAGUAUAAUAAAAGGUUGGGUGCACAUUUACCUUUUCCCACUUGUCUACCGCAUCGUGUGGAGGGAAGCUGCCAGGCACCAAAAGUAAGUGAUUAAUUACAGUAGACAUACUUGCAGUGGAAGGAACAGUGGCGUGAGUGACAGUAUCAUGUCAUCUACUAUAUGAUUGAUUUACUGAACUGUGAGCCUAAAUGGCUAAAUAUGAGCGUUAUCUAUCAUAUCAAUGAACACCUCAACAAUCUUAAUAAAAUGGUAACAAAGAUGGGAUUUACUGAAGUAUUAUUCAUCCCAUAAACCCGAGGAUGGAAGAUGCACCAGUGCACGAAAUGCGAAGUGCAGGCCGCCAAUUAUUCAGUCUCAUGAGGCUAACUACUCCAUCCACAUAGAAUGCAAGUAUAGAUUUGUGCCGAUCAAACUAGUUUAAGUUUGAUCAAAUUUAUAAUAUAUACUAUUUACAUUUAUGUUUACAAUAAAAUUUUCUAUGGAAAUAUAUUUUAUAAUCAAUCUAAUGAUGUUUGUUUUAUAUUAUGAAUGGUACUAUUUUUCCUAUAUAUAAGUUUGGUCAAGUUACAGAAAAACGAAAAUUACAUCUUUUUAUGGAUGGAGUGAGCACAUUGCAUGAGAUAAGUUAUUACUCUCCAGUGCAUAAAAUAAUACAAGAAAACUAGCUUAUGUCCGACUAAAUUUAUAAUAAAUAGUACUAAUACUU
rnacentral:lncRNA from 1 species